CUUUUACGUUAAGAUAAUGAUUCCACUUAAGUGUUUAAUACUUCUAAAUGUAUUGUAAAGGUGGGAAUAUUAGUGAUACUUACUGCUGGUGUUUAAGCAAGAAUUUAAAAGGACAUUCGUGUCAGUAUUUGACGUUAUUUGGCUUAAAAUAUCCACAAAAACCUUUUAGGUGGAACGUAAAUGUUUGUGCUGACAAGUGGGGUUUUAAAACCAGCGUUUCCCAGAUUUCCAUUCAGAGCACUUUAUCGCGCAGCAUUUAAGCCCCACAGUGAGGCCUCCAGGUUUAUGGCUGCAGCUUUUAGCUUUUAGUAGUUUGGGCUUGAAAAAUGACACUUUUAUAGGCUUUGCAUCAGAUUAUUUCUUGUUUGGUUAUUAAAACUCAGCUAAAAUAAUUGACUGAAGUUAACAGAAUAAACUGCUUCAUCUCUGCAGCAUGUAUGCAAGCAACGUGUUUGAACCCGGAGGCCUAAAACCGACACCGAAUUUUUGCUGUUCACUCCCAGAAGAUUGUUAAAAACAUGUUAUUUCCUUUUGAAGCAAACAUCCUCCAAGUCGCCAUCUUCUCAAAUUUGCAGUUUUUCUUUGUCAUCUCUUGUUUUGGAUGAAUUAGAUCGUACGUUCUGAUUUUCUGUGGAUCAACCGUUUGGUCUACAGAGAUGCCAGAGGGAAAACAAAAACUUGCUUCCAGCCACUCGAGACUGAAAACUCUCUGCCGACUUUAAGACUGUUUGAAGCUGCUCGCACCAACACUCCAACGGGAUAAUUAAAGCAAUUUUUAUUUAUUUUUUCUUAUAUUACUCGUUUUCUUUAAAAAACAAAAGUCUGUUAAAAAAAAAUAGUUUCUGCUGCUUUAGCCUGUCUACGGGCAACUGCAAGCCACUUUGCAACCCACCGUCACCACCUUUGCUCCAUCUCCUCCAUGUCGUUCCCAGAGCAAACAAGCAUAACACCACAGCGUCGUCCUGAAAUAACUGAAAAAGGAGUUUCUGGUAUUUUUAGUGAAAAAUGAUUGUUUUUGGACAUUAAUUACUUUAUAUACCCAGAAGGUUAACACUAAUCUGAGGAUGCAGAUGUGACCAACACUCUGAACAAAGCUUCGCACUCACAGCCGUCACUAAAAACACAACAGCGCUACAAUAACGAGCAGAUCAGCAGCGUUUCUACAAGUUUCUGUACUCUUUGUCGCUCCUUGAGCUCGUGGAAACACUUUUGAUUUCCACUCACUACAUCAGCCUGAUGUGUUUGUGCAGCCAGAUGAUGGGACCUCCUGUGAGACGGGCAAUGAUGGAAAUAUGUGCCAUAAAAAUAAAAUCAAGAUAUAAAAUAUGUUUCAAAAAUAUAGCGGACCAUAGAGUGAGUUCUCCUAUUUGUAGUGCUGUCAGAUUUUAUAAUUCAUGGAUGGUGUCGACUGGAUGUCAGACUAAUAUGAUAACAGAUGAAUUUUAAUCAGUUACUGAUCUAUAAACUAUUUUUUGUAUCAGGCGGUAAACAUUUGUUUCUGCUGUGACGUUGCCCCUAGUGGGCGUUAGAGGAAGUGCAGCAAGAAAAUGAAGCUUUGUUUUUGUAAAGAGCUCGCUCUAUAGUCCUCUGCACAGAACGAUAAACGGGCUGUGUUGUGUUGUGCUGAAUGAUUUAGGGCUCAAAAUAAAUGCAACACUCACUUUCAUUCCCCACACCGACCUCGCCAUGACCAUCGAACUACCGACAAGCACUACUGAGGAAAAGUCUCCACUCAGCCUCCAGCGAAUGCACAGGCCGCCACGCUUUCUAUUGAAAGCUGAACACUCACCAGACAUGACGAGGAUCCCUGGAUGAGGGGGGAGGAAAUAGGUCAUGUCCACUACAGCCACCAGCCAAUCAGUAUUUCUGAGGUGGUAAAGAUGGAGAUCGUUUCCAAACUUCAGGGUUGCUUCUUCUUCUCUGGUGACUUUGUCAGCGUCACAUCUGUGUAACACCUGAAUGCGCCACAGACAGUUAUGAUCAGUGUUCAUUAAAACAUCUGCAAAAAUUAUGUUUAAAAAGUUAAAAAUGCAAUUAGUUUUUCCUUCAGGAAAACUACAGAAUGUCCCUUUAAAAUGUCUGUUACCUUCCACCGAGCCUUACAACCCAGGAAGUGUCACCGCCUUUCAAAAUAAAACUCGACCAAAGUGUUAACGAAGCGCUUCAUUAAACAAGGCUGGAAACAGAGUCAUGAUUUAUUAUUUUUAAACGCACGAUCAUCCAGCAUUUAGUUUUUUUUUUUUACAGUGAAGCAAAGCAAAGCACCCAAAAGGUAAAACAUUCAUUUGUAGUUGUUACUGUUACUGUUAUUAUUCGUCUGCACUGCGGGCUUGUGCUCAAAAAUAUUUUGGACCAUUAUAAAUCGUCAGACUAUGCAGAAGACGUAACACCUGGUUAAUGUGUGUUUAAAUUUUAAUCUGGAACUUUAUUUAUAGCAGGUCUGUCCAGAAUUCAUCAUCAUUUCCAGCAGAUUUACUGAAAAUCACAAAUUACAAAAUUACAUUUCCAGCAAUUAUUUUUCUCAAUGUUCUCCGAUUAGUUCUUGACAAACGGUCCAAAAUACUUUUGUUUUUGUUUUAUUUAUUUUCUUUUUAACAAACGAAGAACACAUUAAAAACUCCAGUUUUCUGAUUUUUUUUAAAAUAAAGGCACUUUUUGAAGAGAAACUUGUUUUUUUCUACACUUUAAACACACUCGGUAACAAAGCUGCACUCAAGGCCUGUUAAUUAACUUUUCUUCUACUUUUACAUUAAUUCCUCUCAUUUGAGAUUCAGUGAUGAGUAUUUGUUUUGUUUUGUUUUUGUUUUUACAGUUUUUAUCUUGUAAAUUUACAACUUUAAUGUUCAAACUAAAUCAGCAUUCGCCCAGCCCCUCGAUUCUUUUGGUUCUUUUAAAAAUGAAACCACAUUUUUAUUAAUGUCUUUUGUCUGCUUUUGCAGUUUUCUCCAAAAUAUCCCAUAAUCCCCCCCCGGCUUUACGGCCAUGUAAGUGUUUAUACAUCAUGUAACAUCUCCGUAUGAUUAUUCUGACAGCCGAGUUAUCCUGGAUCUGAAUCCAACCUCAUUCAGUUUUUCGGGCUCGAUAGAAACUUCUGCUCAUUUUUAACUUGACACAAAACAAAUGUGUGAAAACAAAUCAGACAAAAAAUUUCAUGGAUUUAGUUUUGAUUUAAAUAAAGGAAGUUAUCAAUCAAAUAUGCAAGUGAAAAGUUAAAUAUUCAGAGCUUUGAACUGAAUGAAACAAAAUUGCAGUACAGACGUUGUUUGUGCAGUUUCAUUACCCAUAAUCCUCAGCAGGUUGAUUACAUCACAUCACUCCAGAUUACUAACAAACGUUCAGAUGAGACUCGAUAAUGUCCCCUCUGACUCUUCAGCUUAUUCCUUUUUUUGAACUUGUUUUAUACUUUCAUGUAAAUCCAUUCAGCUUCUCUUUUUCUGUGUUUUAUUGUCAGAUUUUAAUAUUUUAAUGUACAGUUUUCUUUUGUUCCAUAAUGCCUUACAGGUGCUGUAAAUACAUUGUAAAAAAUAAAUCUUUUCAUAUAAUGGCCACUAGUUAAAUGUGUAAAUAAAUAUCUCAGCAAACUCCUGCGUCUGUCUCUUUACAGUUUGUUUUAAAUGAAUUCAAACGUUCUCUGACUUUGAGGACUUUACAGUCUUGUCUCAUCAAGUAGUAGACACCUUUUGGCGCAGGAGUCACAAG
ensembl:lncRNA